rnacentral:lncRNA from 10 species
CUUGACCAGCCUGAUUGGUUGCAGGAGGGGACCAAUCAGAGGUACCUCCCAUUUUUCAUCUGCAGCCCAAUGCAAAGCUGUAUUGAGGUAUAAUUGAUAUGCCAAAUAACUGGACACAUUCAACUUGUGCAAUUUGAUGAGUUUGGAGAUACACAUACAUCUGUGAAACCAUCACCAAAAUCAAGAUGCUGGUGCCUGCAGUGGAGGCUGCUUGAAAUACAUCUGGUCCAGUCACAGCCUUGAUUGGGGCCAGUGCCUGUGCCAGCACCUGGAGCUGCCUGCCCCACCACAGCAGCCAGCGUGCCUGGCUGUGCACAGAGGCCAGACCUGUGCUCACUCACUCACACGCCCCUCACCACUCUGUGCCUGGCUCACCCUUGGCAGGCAUGGGAUCUCGGCCAGUAGCACGAGCCAAGCACAGCCUGCUGGGCCAAGUGGGUAAAACGAGCCCAGUGGGUGCGAGCAAGACUCAAGCAGAGGCACCACCAGCCGCCGAGGCACCACCAGCCACAGAGGUUUCUGGCUGGUGAAGCAACACCUGAAGAAUCCUAUGGCAUUUUCCUGACUUUGAAAUUUACCCACUUAGUCAAGAAAAUAUGAAGCUAUUCAUUCCCUUUACUUGUCUAGCAGAAUAUUUCCACAUAGAAGAUUUUAGUCUUUGUCAUCAAGACUGCGUAACAUUUAACACUCCACCACAUCAAAAUGC